rnacentral:rRNA from 1 species
AUUGGGGGGGGGGGGGAUUUUAAUAUCCUUCGAUAUGAGCAGGAAGAAAACAAUGACCGGUUUGACACUAGGUGGCCUUUCCUCUUUAAUGUUGUUAUUGACAGCCUGGACCUGAGGGAGAUCACGAUGUCUGGCCGUCAGUAUACGUGGGCCAAUAACCGAUCAGUGCCAACAUUUGAAAAACUUGACCGAGUGCUAGUUACCACCGACUGGGAAUAUAAAUACCCCCUAGCAUUGGUUCGGGCUCUAGAACGUAUUGAGGCCUUAUCGGAUCACGCUCCUUUGCUAACCGAUUUUGGACAACCAAUCCCACGUUCUAACCGUCACCAGUUUAAAUUUGAACUGGGUUGGUUCACUAGAGAGGGAUUUCAUGACCUUGUUAAGAAAGUGUGGGCGCGCCAACCUCAUGGUAACACACCCAUUCAACGAUGGAACAAUCGAAUUCGCGCCUUGCGCCGAUUCCUUCGUGGAUGGGCCAAGCAUACUGCUGGCAUUUACAAAAAAGAAAAACUGCGACUAUCUACCUUAAUCGACUCCCUUGAUAAAAUAGCGGAGGUCAGGCCUCUGACUGCUGUUGAGAUUGAGCAAAAAAUCAAUCUAAAUGAGCAGAUUGCCCGCCUAUUACGCGAGGAAGAGAUUAAAUGGUACCAACGUUGCAAGGCGGAUUCGCUUGUGCAAGGUGAUGAUAAUACGAAAUACUUUCAAAUGCUUGCCAAUGGCAGACAUAGAAAGAAACGCAUAUUCGCCCUUGAC